rnacentral:tmRNA from 1 species
GGGGAAGCAAAGGUUUCGACGGGGAUUUUUAGCGUAUGAAUAGCGGGUAGAGUGCGAGCUCUUUAAAUAUCAAAAAACAAGUUUUAAACGCAGGUAGUAAAGGUAAAGAUGAUGAUGGUGUUAUAACUCUUGAUUUCUCUGGAGCAGAUGCCAUCGCUGCGUAAGCAGCCAUCCGUUUGGCCAGGUUUACCAUGCCCUGGUUUGAACGUCAUUUAGUGGUGAACGUUGCCCGGGAGCUUUCUCGACCCGGUUGAUGAAUUAGAGGAUAUUGCAGCAGUGUUUUUUGUUUGUUGGCGCGCUGUUGCAUGAAUAACGAAAACAAACUGCACCCGGAGAGUUUUGUGCGCGUGAGUCUUCGGACAGGGGUUCGAUUCCCCUCUUCUCCACCA